rnacentral:lncRNA from 1 species
AAAAAAACCCAAUCAAAUAAAAUUUGACAAAGGAAAAAAGAAUGCAAUACAUAAAUAACAAAAAACUUCAUAAAAUAAUGAUUUUACAUAAUCAUACAUUUUUAUUUAUUCCUUAUUCUCCAUGUAUUUAUGAAAGCAAGCAAAGGUAAUUCUGUUGCGCUUCAAGUACUUCUUGUGCUUGUUUAGUUGAGAUAUAAAUAAAUGCAUAUUUUGCCGUUUCAAAAAAAAUGCUAGCUUAAUUUUAUAUAUAUAUGCUUUAUGUGCCUGUCAAAGAAAUUAAUAUACGUUAGAGAAAGAAAAGUUGAAUUUUGCAAGAAAUCAAUAGAGAAUAUGACAUUUAAAUAGAACAUGACAUUUAAAUAAAAUUAUAAGUUUAGUAGUAAUAAAAUUAUUUGUUCACUUAACUGUUAAUAUUUUUAAUCAACACAAACACAAUUUUUUUCUUGGCAUAUAACGAAUGCACGUCCAAUACAAGGAUCAUCACCAGCAGAAUUUAGACAAUCAGAAGUGGAUGUGCACUUUUUAUUUAGGAUAGAUGCUAUAUAAUGUAAAACACAAAAUAAUGUUAUUAAAAAGGGGUUAACAAAUUGUGUAAAAAUAACUAUAAGAUUGUCCUCGUGAGCAUAAUUCAAUUGACAGGGAUAUUAUAAAUUAUUGCUGGGACCAGAGUUCGAAUCCUGAUACUCCCACUUAUUUAGUGAAGUUCUAGGACAAAAAAAACUACAAAAUUUGACGAGGAUAAGAAAAAAGUGCUUACGAAAGGCAUAAGUUACAACAAGUAGAGAAAUAAAUAGGAUGAUAGCAUACACAAACUUGGUAAUUGUAGCCAUAUUUUUUUCAUUUGUAUGUAACCAAUGGAAAAUUGUUUGAUCAUUUUAUAAGGAAAUUUUUUAUGCACGUACUGUUUAUGCCAAAUAAAAUCUUUCUAAUAUUAU